rnacentral:rRNA from 1 species
GUGGGGAAUAUUGGACAAUGGGGGAAACCCUGAUCCAGCGACGCCGCGUGUGUGAAGAAGGCCUGCGGGUUGUAAAGCACUUUUAGUGGGGAUGAAAAGCUCAGGGCUAAUACCUCUGGGUCUUGACCUAACCCAAAGAAAAAGCACCGGCUAACUCUGUGCCAGCAGCCGCGGUAAUACAGAGGGUGCGAGCGUUAAUCGGAAUUACUGGGCGUAAAGCGUGCGUAGACGGUUAUGUAAGUCGGGUGUGAAAGCCCCGGGCUCAACCUGGGAAUUGCAUUCGAGACUGGAUAGCUAGGGUGCGGAAGAGGGAAGCGGAAUUUCAGGUGUAGCGGUGAAAUGCGUAGAUAUCUGAAGGAACACCAGUGGCGAAAGCGGCUUCCUGGUCCAGCACCGACGUUCAGGCACGAAAGCGUGGGGAGCAAACAGGAUUAGAAACCCUUGUAGUCC